AGGAUGAACACAGUCACUCGAACCACAGGAUGUGAAUAAUGAGAUCCUGGUGAGUAGGCUACCUGGAGGAUCACAACUAUACAGAUACUGGCACUUUAAAGUGAAAACUAGAAAAGGAAGGAACUGUGUGGCGGGAAAUGUGGCACAGACUUGGACAUGUCCUACUUGAUCUAUCUGAGGCCCCAUUUAUGAGGUUGUCCCACUGGCAACUGGACAUAGUAUUCUGGUAUUCAGGAGAGAGGUCUAACUGAAGAUGAAAAUGUGGAACGUAUCAACAUUUCAUACCUGAGCCCAUCACAGUAAACAAACUAAGAGUGAAAGGAAAAAAGGAACAAGUACAGAAUCUAUAGAAACACGAAUAUUUACAUAGAAGAUAAGUAGACUGUAAAGAUAAAGAAGAAAUGUUGAGUUUAUCCCAUGAAUAAAAGAAAGCAGAAUAUUAAUAAAUCUACUAAUGUAAUUCAUCAUACUUGUAGUACUAUAGAGAAGAGUCUUUUGAAAAUCAACAUGGACAUUGAGAACGGACUUUUAGAAACACAUUCUGGGUUUCUAAUUCUGCACCAAAAGAUCUUGGAGGUCAUCACUCCAUCCUAACUACAACUAUAAAGCCUACAAAGAGACCAAAAAACCCAACUCUUCUUGCAUCUGUAAAACUAUAAGACAGCAUUUCAAUGUUGGUGCCAACAAGCCCUCAUGUUGCAUGAAAUUUAGCAGUUUUUUCCUUAGGUUCCAUUUGAAUCACGUAACUAAUGUGACUGAAUUUUUGCCAUGCCAUCAGAAAUACCAGAGACAAAUUUAUACUAAAUUUCGAUGACUCAAAGAUCGCACAAACUGCUGAUAUCUAUAUGCCAACUUUAUCUUCUUUAUGCACAUUUCCUUCAAGAGAGCACUCUGGCAGCAUAACUGAGAGAGAAGGCAGAAGGACUGGAUUAAGGUGAGAAAUGG